rnacentral:miRNA from 1 species
CAGCUCCCUGCGUCGCGGCGGGCGAUGCCAGAAGCGCCAGGGCGGCGGCGGCGGUGGCGUGGGCA